rnacentral:piRNA from 1 species
UGGACGUACACGGUGGCCACUGAAGCUUU